CUCCUCUUCAAGUGCAGGUUCUCUACUAGAGUUUGGAAUGAGGUGUUUGCCUGGCUUGGUCUAAAUAUCCCCACGACUCCUUGGCUCCAGUUUAACAUGGUCAAAUCUUGGUGGGACGCGCUACUCACUAACAAUGGUCAACCCACGAAAGCUCUAUCUUCCCUUCUCCUUCUUGUGGGAUGGGAACUUUGGAAGGAAAGGAAUGCGGGCGUCUUCAGGAACAAGGCGGCACCGCUGGCGAUCAUCAUACGAUGCAUCAAAGAAGAAGUGUCCAUUUGGGCCAUUGCGGGCGCCAAACAUUUGCGUAAUGUAAUGCCGCGAGAGUAA
rnacentral:rRNA from 1 species